rnacentral:tRNA from 1 species
AAGACACUAGUAAAAUAGCACAAUUACACCGCCUUGUCAAGGCAGACUUGUGGGUUAAAAUCCCGCGUGUCUUA